rnacentral:rRNA from 1 species
UACAGAGAGUGCGAGCGUUGUCCGGAAUCACUGGGCGUAAAGGGCGCGUAGGUGGUGGCUUAAGCGUGCGGUGAAAGCUCGGGGCUCAACCCCGAGUCGGCCGUGCGAACUGGGCUCACUGGAGCAUAGUAGAGGCAGGUGGAAUUCCGGGUGUAGCGGUGGAAUGCGUAGAGAUCCGGAAGAACACCGGUGGCGAAGGCGGCCUGCUGGGCUAUGGCUGACACUGAGGCGCGACAGCGUGGGGAGCAAACAGG